rnacentral:rRNA from 1 species
UACGAAGGGGGCUAGCGUUGUUCGGAAUUACUGGGCGUAAAGCGCGCGCAGGCGGUCUUCCAAGUCAGUGGUGAAAGCCUGGAGCUCAACUCCAGAACUGCCAUUGAAACUGUUAGACUUGAGUACGAGAGAGGUGAGUGGAAUUCCCGGUGUAGCGGUGAAAUGCGCAGAUAUCGGGAAGAACACCCGUGGCGAAGGCGGCUCUCUGGGACGGUACUGACGCUGAGACGCGAAAGCGUGGGGAGCGAACAGG